rnacentral:rRNA from 1 species
UACGUAGGGUGCAAGCGUUGUCCGGAAUUAUUGGGCGUAAAGAGCUCGUAGGCGGUUCGUCGCGUCGGCUGUGAAAUCCCGAGGCUCAACCUCGGGUCUGCAGUCGAUACGGGUGGACUGGAGUUCGGCAGGGGAGACUGGAAUUCCUGGUGUAGCGGUGAAAUGCGCAGAUAUCAGGAGGAACACCGGUGGCGAAGGCGGAUCUCUGGGCCAUUACUGACGCUGAGGAGCGAAAGCGUGGGGAGCGAACAGG